GCAGGAAGUGCUUGCACUUUGCUGACGAGUGGCGGACGGGUGAGUAAUGCUUGGGAACUUGCCUUUAGGUGGGGGAUAACAGUUGGAAACGACUGCUAAUACCGCAUAAUGUCUACGGACCAAAGGGGGCUUCGGCUCUCGCCUUGAGAGAGGCCCAAGUGAGAUUAGCUGGUUGGUGGGGUAAAGGCCUACCAAGGCAACGAUCUCUAGCUGUUCUGAGAGGAAGAUCAGCCACACUGGGACUGAGACACGGCCCAGACUCCUACGGGAGGCAGCAGUGGGGAAUAUUGCACAAUGGGGGAAACCCUGAUGCAGCCAUGCCGCGUGUGUGAAGAAGGCCUUCGGGUUGUAAAGCACUUUCAGUUGUGAGGAAAGGUUGGUAGUUAAUACCUGCCAGCUGUGACGUUAACAACAGAAGAAGCACCGGCUAACUCCGUGCCAGCAGCCGCGGUAAUACGGAGGGUGCGAGCGUUAAUCGGAAUUACUGGGCGUAAAGCGCACGCAGGCGGCUUGUUAAGCUAGAGGUGAAAGCCCCGCGCUCAACGUGGGAACUGCCUUUAGAACUGGCAGGCUAGAGUCUUGGAGAGGGGAGUGGAAUUCCAGGUGUAGCGGUGAAAUGCGUAGAUAUCUGGAGGAACAUCAGUGGCGAAGGCGGCUCCCUGGCCAAAGACUGACGCUCAUGUGCGAAAGUGUGGGUAGCGAACAGGAUUAGAUACCCUGGUAGUCCACACCGUAAACGCUGUCUACUAGCUGUUUGUGUAUUUAAUACGUGAGUAGCGAAGCUAACGCGCUAAGUAGACCGCCUGGGGAGUACGGCCGCAAGGUUAAAACUCAAAUGAAUUGACGGGGGCCCGCACAAGCGGUGGAGCAUGUGAUUUAAUUCGAUGCAACGCGGAGAACCUUACCUACUCUUGACAUCCAGGAAAUUUUCAGAGAUGAAUUAGUGCCUUCGGGAAUCCUGAGACAGGUGCUGCAUGCUGUCGUCAGCUCGUGUCGUGAGAUGUGGAUAGUCCCGCACGAGCGCAACCCUUGUCAUAGUGCAGCAUAGUGGCACUCUAGGAGACUGCCGGUGACAACGAGAGGUGGGACGACGUCAGUCAUCAUGGCCCUACAAAUAGGCUAACACACGUGCUACAAUGCCAGUACAAAGUAGGCCGAGACGGUGAUGUGGAGCGGACCCUUAAGCCUGUGCGUAAUACGGGAUUGGAGAGUGCCAAUCGACUUCAUGGAAUUCCGAGAUCCUCGUCGAUAAAUCUCCACGGGGAGCGCA
rnacentral:rRNA from 1 species